UACGGGGGGAGCAAGCGUUGUUCGGAUUUACUGGGCGUAAAGGGCGCGUAGGCGGCCACCGCAAGUCGACUGUGAAAUCUCCGGGCUUAACCCGGAAAGGUCAGCCGAUACUGCGGGGCUAGAGUGCAGAAGGGGCAACUGGAAUUCUCGGUGUAGCGGUGAAAUGCGUAGAUAUCGAGAGGAACAUCGAUGGCGAAAGCAACCGUCUGGGCCUGAACUGACACUGAGACACGAAAGCGUGGGGAGCAAACAGG
rnacentral:rRNA from 1 species